GCCGUGUAGUUUUACCGUAUUACCCUCAUGACCCUCCCUGCUGUUAUCUCCGCCACUAACCUUAUCCUGUGCGCGCGCGCGCACAAAUUACACAAUACAAGAUCAAUCUCGUACCGGCGACGACGACUGUGCCCGUUCCCGGAAAACUGUCGUCAUUGAGGGUUUGUGGAUUAAGAUUGAGAUUGAGAUUGAGAUUGAGUCUGCGAUUGCGAUUGAGUGUGGUGGCUGCCUGCCUGCAAGUGCAAUGUUUGGUUUGCAUAAGUUGUCAAGACAAAUGAGGAAUGUGAAGCGAACACUAGCAGGAUUCGGUGGGGGGAAAUUUGAGGCUUCCUAUUUGUCAAGUCGUAAUUUCAGCACUCAGCAGCAGCAGCAGCAUCGGGUUUUAAAAGACAUUCCGGAAUGUGUAAAGAUUGUAGAAGUUGGUCCGAGGGAUGGACUGCAGAAUGAGAAGAACAUUGUUCCUACCGCUGUCAAGGUUCAAUUGAUUCAAAUGCUUGUUUCUUCUGGCUUGCCUGUUGUCGAGCCUACAAGUUUUGUCUCCCCAAAAUGGGUUCCUCAGCUGGCAGAUGCAAAAGAUGUAAUGGCCGCUAUUCGGCAUAUUGAAGGUGCUAGAUUUCCCGUCCUAACCCCUAAUCUUAAAGGAUUUGAGACAGCUGUUGCUGCUGGUGCAAAGGAAGUCGCCAUAUUUGCCUCAGCUUCUGAAUCUUUCUCAAAAUCAAAUAUAAAUUGCAGUAUUGAAGAUAGUCUUGUUCGAUAUAGUGAUGUUUCUAUUGCUGCCAGAAAGCUUUCAAUUCCUGUUCGUGGAUAUAUAUCGUGUGUUGUGGGGUGUCCGGUGGAAGGAAAGAUAUCCCCAUCACAAGUAGCAUAUGUGGCGAAAGAACUUUAUGAUAUGGGUUGCUCAGAAAUUUCUCUUGGUGAUACAAUUGGUGUCGGUACUCCAGGUACUGUCAUUCCAAUGCUUGAAGCUGUUAUUGACGUGGUCCCGACUGAUAAGCUUGCUGUCCAUUUUCACGACACUUAUGGGCAAGCUCUUUCAAACAUACUAGCGUCACUCCAGAUAGGAAUCAGCACAGUGGAUUCUUCAGUAUCAGGUCUUGGGGGUUGUCCGUAUGCUAAGGGAGCUUCCGGAAAUGUUGCCACGGAAGAUGUUGUGUACAUGCUUAAUGGACUUGGAGUGAAGACCAAUGUAGAUCUUAAAAAGCUCAUGUUGGCUGGGGACUAUAUCAGUAAGCACUUGGGGCGCUCGUCUGGUUCAAAGACGGCAGUUGCCUUGAGUAAAAUCGCAGCUCCUGCCUCAAAGCUAUGAGGUACCACCACUCUUGUUAUGAAUUGUUUUAGGCACGUACAAGGAGCUGAUUGCAGAUCCUAAUGGUGAACUUGUGAGGCAAAUGACAGCACAUACAAAAUCUCUACAGCAAGUUCGGACGUGUCCGCAAGAUUCUUCAGAACACACUACUUCUUGCCGUAAUACAAACAGAACUGCUAAAAUAUUACACGUAGAAAUAGUGGAAGAAACUUCCAUUAACGACAUUGUUGUUAAUAAGAAUAGCCGAGAAGAGGAAGAAGAAGCUCACACAGGACGAGUAAGUGGAGUGUGUAUUCGACCUUCGUGACUCGUGCAUAUGGAGGCACACUUGUUCCUGUUAUCUUGCUCUGUCGAGUUCUCUUCCAGGGGCUUGAAAUAGUAAGAAACUACUGGAUUGUUUGGGCGUCAAAGAAGGAAAAUGGAAUUACCAUAGAAGAGAUGAUCUGGUUUUUCGCUUUGUUAUCGGGAGGGAGGGAGGGAGGGAGCUGUGUCUUCAUCUUGGUAAGGGCUGUUAUAACUUCAGCCGUCACCAUUGAAACUUCCCAGCGUCUCUUGCAUGGGUGGUGAGUUCAGUUUUCUGAGCACCUACGGUGUUUUUCGAUUCCACUCCUUCUAGUCGAAUCCUCAAUAGGUCUUCGACUGAUCAAAGCACAGUGGACACGGAUAUUCCAUUCAGAUUAGCUGGAUUAGUAUUUGCACUCAUCCAGCUAAUAGGUUCCGUCAUCCUUAUGUCUGUAGUGGCCUGGCAAGUCAUCCUCCUUUUCCUUGUCGUCUUUGCGCUCUCUGCGUGGUACAUGGUGUACUGCAUUAGCACUGCCUGAGAAUUAUCCAGGAUGGUUGCAAUUCAAAAGGCUCCAAUACUGCAUCAAUUUUCUGAAUCAAUCACGAGGGCUGCAACUAUUCGUUGUUAAAAUCAAGAACAAGAUCGCUUCAUGAAGAAAGUAAGAAGUGUGAUUGAUGAUUUUUCAGGAGUAGCCUUUCACAAUUAUGCAACCACGAAAUGGCUCUCUCUGCCAUUUCGUGGCUCUCUCUGCGAAUGAACUUUCUCUUCAACUUAGCCUUUUUCAUAGUCCUCAUCAUCUUGGUGACCUUGCCUGCAUCCGCCAUUUAUCCCAGUUUGACAAGAUUGGCUGCAUCUUAUUGCUUUAACCUCAUGGUCCUUCAGGCUUGGUUAUCUGGAAUCUAUUCAAUGUCGAAAACUCAAUGAUAUCAGUUGAGAGAAUUCUUGAAUUCACAAGAAUACCAAGUGAGGCACCGCUUGUGAUUGAAGGUUCUAGGCCAAACGCUGGUUGGCCAACUGAAGGAAAAGUCGAACUUCAGAACCUGCAAGUUCAGUAUCACCCAGCUCUCCCAAUGGUGAUCAAGGGGGUCACCUGCACCUUCCCGGGAAAUAUGAAAGUCGGUGUUGUGGGAAGGACAGGAAGUGGAAAGUCUACUUUGAUUCAAGCACUGUUCCGAAUAGUAGAACCAUCAGGAGGGAAGAUUCUCAUUGACAAAUUAGACAUUUCAAAAUUGGGUUGCAAGACUCAAGAUUCAACCUUAUUUCAAGUAACUGUGAGGACUAAUCUGGAUUCCCUGGAGCAGAAUUCCUGUCACAAAAUAUUUGGAAUCUCGUCGAGUAUGCAACAUAGUAAGCUUGACUUGCUAGAACCAACAGCACCGCAAACACUAGAAGUGGAAUAAGCCAAAAACUCCGUGACUGGAAGAGAAGAACUCCCCGAUUGCUUCUACGUCCAUGCUGAUUAAAUUUAUGAUAUUUCCAUUGGUUGGGCAGGCUAGAGCUAAGAACCAAAACUAGUUCAUCAACUAUAUGGUCUUUUCAUUAACUUUUGCUCCUGAAUUUUGCCUAUUGGGAAGCGAUUGUUGUAAAAACUCGAGUUCAGUGUUAAGAUAAGAUUACGAUAUUUUACCUAA